CCGUGAGGCGGCGGCAACAUGGCGGCGGCGGGGCGGGAGGAGCCGCCGCUGGGGCUCGAGGCGGUCGCGGAGGAGGCGGCGGCGGCGGCGGCGAGUGCCGGGUUCCGGCUCACGGCGGUGCGGCGGGAGCCGGCGGUGCGGCUGCAGCACGGCGCCAGCGGGCUGGAGCCGCUGGCCUGGUCCGAGGACCACCGGGUGUCGGUGAGCACGGCCCGCAGCAUCGCCGUGCUGGAGCAGCUCAGCGACGUGCACAGCGGCGGGCAGGACAUGGUCAUCCACCGCACCGCCGUGCCCGCGCCCGGCGCCGCCUGCAUGCUCAAGGUUGGCCCAAAGAAGGAGGUGGCUGAAUGUAAGGAGAAGUUCGCCAGCUCAGUGGAUCCAACCGUCAGUCAGACGUUUAUGCUGGACCGGGUGUUCAAUCCCGAGGGGAAGUCCCUGACACCCAUGCGGGGCUUCAAAUAUUCCAGCUGGUCCCCUCUGGGCUGCGACGCCAACGGGAGGUGCCUGCUGGCAGCCCUGACCAUGGACAACCGCCUGACCAUCCAUGCCAACCUCAACAGGCUGCAGUGGGUGCAGCUGGUGGACCUGACCGAGCUCUACGGCGAGCGCCUGUUCGAGGCCAGUUACAAACUGUGUAAGGCUGACACUCCCUGUGGGGAGCUGGGAGACUUCCCGGAGUUCCAGCGGCGGCACAGCAUGCAGACCCCGGUGCGUAUGGAGUGGUCGGGCAUCUGCACCACCCAGCAGGUCAAGCACAACAACGAGUGCCGGGACGUGGGCAGCGUGCUCCUGGCAGUGCUCUUCGAAAACGGGAAUAUCGCUGUUUGGCAGUUCCAGCUGCCCUUUCUGGGGCAAGAGUCCAUCACUUCCUGCAAUACCAUCGAGUCAGGAAUAAGCUCCCCCAGCGUGUUGUCCUGGUGGGAAUACGAGCACAACAACCGGAAGAUGAGCGGACUGAUCGUGGGGAGCGCGUACGGCCCGGUGAAGAUCAUCCCCGUCAACCUCAAGGCGGUCAAAGGCUACUUCACGCUGAGACAGCCUGUGGUCUUGUGGCAGGAGAUGGACCAGCUGCCCGUGCACAGCAUCAAAUGUAUCCCUCUCUACCACCCCUACCAGAAAUGCAGCUGUAGCCUGGUGGUGGCUGCGAGAGGCCCUUACGUGUUCUGGUGCCUCCUGUUGAUAUCCAAAGCGGGGCUGAACGUCCACAAUUCCCACGUGACGGGGCUCCACUCCUUGCCCAUUGUCUCCAUGACUGCGGACAAGCAGAACGGCACGGUGUACACCUGCUCCAGCGACGGCAAGGUCAGGCAGCUCAUCCCCAUAUUCACAGACGUUGCUUUAAAGUUUGAGCACCAGCUGAUAAAGCUCUCGGAGGUGUUUGGCUCCGUCAGGACUCACGGAAUCGCUGUCAGCCCGUGUGGGGCAUACCUGGCAGUCAUCACCACCGAGGGCAUGGCCAACGGGCUGCACCCGGUCAACAAAAACUACCAAGUUCAGUUUGUCACCCUCAAGACUUUUGAGGAGGCAGCUGCACAGCUCUUGGAAUCUUCUGUUCAGAACCUUUUCCGGCAGGUGGACUUGACGGAUCUUGUACGCUGGAAAAUCUUGAAGGAUAAGCAUAUUCCUCAGUUCUUACAGGAAGCACUGGAUAAAAAGAUAGAGAGCUGUGGUUCCACUUACUUCUGGAGGUUUAAGCUGUUUCUCUUGAGGAUUUUGUACCAGUCGAUGCAGAAAGCCCCCUCCGAGGUCACGUGGAGACCUUCACACGAGGAUGCCAAAAUCUUGAUAUCGGAUUCCCCUGGGAUGGGCAGCACUGAAGAUGAUCAAGAGGAAGGAACUUCGAAACAAGCCAGCAAGCAGAGCCUGGGGGACACUGGCAAAGGUGUGGACAUUGAUGACAAUGCAGAGGAUUCUCUCCAUCAGUCAAGUGACACUGGAGGCCGUGAGCCAAUGGUAGAAAAGCUGCUUGAAAUACAGGCACAGAUUGAGGCUGUAGAAAUGCACUUGACACGAGAACACAUGAAGCGGGUGUUGGGAGAAGUUUAUCUGCACACGUGGAUUACAGAAAACACCAGCAUUCCCACCAGAGGAGUCUGUGACUUCUUAAUGUCCGACGAUGGCUAUGAUGACAGAACAGCACGAGUGCUGAUUGGGCACAUCCUGAAGAAGAUGAACAAACAGACCUUCCCGGAGCACUGCAGUUUGUGCAAGGAGAUCCUGCCCUUCACCGACCGCAAGCAGGCCGUCUGCUCCAAUGGCCACAUUUGGCUCAGGUGCUUUCUAACCUACCAGUCCUGCCAGAGUUUGGUGUACAGGAGGUGUUUGCUUCACGACAGCAUUGCACGGCACCCAACCCCAGAAGAUCCUGAAUGGAUCAAGAGGUUAUUGCAAGGACCUUGCACGUUCUGUGAUUCUCCUGUGUUCUAGAGAAAAGCUGUGUCAAGACUGAAAGUAUUUUCUCUACUGCAUAAGCUCCCUUCAGCCUGGGAGGAUACAGAGACAGGAACAGAGACUCUGCUGGAGGGGGAACACAUUGUCCACAGUCCUGUAAAUAGAACAUCACAAGUUCUACAAACUCCUAAAGUCCAGAGCCCAUUCCACGCUCCAGAAACAGGAGUACACCUGGAAGAGCCAGUUUAAAGCUGUUUGGAAAUGCACCCAUGGAAGCCUCAGCAGCUGGACACUGACAAGGAACUGAAGGGUUGAGCACAGUGGGAAUUGUCCUUUCUGCCUGACACCAGUGUCAAUUCCCAAAAGCUGGGAUGGGAACAGUGGAGCUGCCUCUUGAAUGGUCUUGAGUACCAAUCGCAGAGGUGUCGCCCUGUCUGUGAUUCCUGACACUUUCACUGUGUGGGAAGUGCUCUACAGCUGUUGAGAAAUCAUGGAAUUGUGCUGACAGUAUCAGUCUCCCACCAGUGCAUGUGUGAUUGGUGCUUGUUUCCUCGAUUCAAUGACUAUGCAUAUUUUGUUAAUGUUCCUUCACCUUUAAUAGGAGCAAAUUUUUUUCAGUGAACAUUAAAGAAGUCAGCUGUCCUUCUGCUCAGUGUCUCAUGCAUUAAGCAUGAUCAUGCAUUGACUAAGAAGAACAUUGCUAUAGUAGCCUAGAAACAGCAGAAGCACAUUCAUCUGUAAAAUAAUUAGCCUUGUUUGUAAAUAUCCUUGGAAGUGAUACCAUAAUUGUAUUAAAGAAAUGUUUAGUUUUUUAUUGCUGUGCAUUGAAAAUUGAAAUUACUUCAGUGUGCCUGCAGAGAAGGGAAAUGUAGCUCGUGUUGGUAUCCAGUAAAACAAGGAGUAACUUCGA